rnacentral:rRNA from 1 species
AUUGAACGCUGGCGGCAGGCCUAACACAUGCAAGUCGAGCGAGCGGCGGACGGGUGAGUAAUAUAAGGGGACUGCCCGAUGGAGGGGGCUUACUACUGGAAACGGUAGCUAAUCCCCCGUCCAGUAGGAUAACCCAUAUGGGAUUAGCUAGUAGGUGAGGUAAUGACGCACCAAGGCGACGGUCCCUAGCUGGUCUGAGAGGAUGAUCAGCCACACUGGGACUGAGACACGCCCCAGACUCCGACGGAGGCAGCAGUGGGGAAUAUUGCACAAGGGGCGCAAGCCUGAUGCAGCAAUGCCGCGUGUAUGAAGAAGGCCCUAGGGGUGUAAAGUACUUUCAGUCGGGAGGCGUUACCGACAGAAGAAGCACCGGCUAACUCCGUGCCAGCAGCCGCGGUAAUUC